CACGUAGGGGGCGAGCGUUGUUCGGAAUUACUGGGCGUAAAGGGCAUGUAGGCGGUCUUGUAAGCUUGGCGUGAAAGACCACGGCUCAACCGUGGGAUUGCGUUGAGAACUGCGAGGCUUGAGUGACGGAGAGGGAGCUAGAAUUCCUGGUGUAGGGGUGGAAUCUGUAGAGAUCAGGAAGAAUACCAAUGGCGAAGGCAAGCUCCUGGCCGAUGACUGACGCUGAGGUGCGAAAGUGUGGGGAUCAAACAGGAUUAGAUACCCUGGUAGUCCACACUGUAAACGAUGUGCACUAGGUGCUGGUACGGAUGUAUCAGUGCCGUAGCUAACGUGAUAAGUGCACCGCCUGGGGAGUAUGCUCGCAAGGGUGAA
rnacentral:rRNA from 2 species